rnacentral:lncRNA from 1 species
AGCUUGACCUCUCUGAGCCUCAGCUUCUUAAUCUGCAAAACAAGGUUGCAAUGAUUCGUUAUUUUAUAAGUGUUGAGGCAAAACUAAGAACAUACCAUAUGUGCUGAGUACCCAGCAAAUGUUUCUGUGACCUUAAGGAUGAUAGGCUGCAAAUUUAAAGAAGGAGAUUCAAGAGUUGGAAGGUCGCCAGAAGUAAUUUUGUCCAAUGCCAGAAGCCGAGGACCACGGAUAAUAUUCUUCACAGAGAGUUGUCUGGCCUUUGACCAAAUGCCACGUAAUAAAGAUUGUCUCUUCAGAAGAAAAAGAAAUGUUUAGGAAAAAGAGGUGGGAAGGAGGUGAAAUUUUCAUAAUAUAACUCUUUGUUCCUUUUGAAUAUCAUUGUGUUGUAUAUAUCACUUAUUUAAGAAAGUAAAUUAAAUAUUUUGAAAAUGGCU